CUCGGAAGUGAGGACUGGAAGCUGGGCGCGAGGGCAGGCGGCGGGCAGGCUGGGCCGGGGAGGAGCACGGGCGGCCCAGGGCGGGCCGGGGAGCCGCUUUCACCCUUGGUGGGGGAUGUUGAGGCCUAUUCGGCGGGACCAGGCGGGGCCCGACCGCGGCCGCCUUUUCUGCACAGCCUCCGGGAUGCCAUUAAUUAGCUUAGCAAAUAUUUAUGGACCUGCUGCUGUGGCCCAGGCGCAGGUGCUGCGGCCGCAAUCAGAAAAACCUCAGCCGCUGCGGCGCUCACGAUCCGGUGGGGGAGGCAGGCCAGAGAAAGAAGGAAAAUGCGUUGUGUUGAGAGGGGGACGUGAGGGUUGUGGGAGGUUUAAAUGGGGCAGCCAGGGGAGCCUCGCUGCGACGAAGACGUUUGAGUCUAGACAGGAAAGCAGUGCGAGAGAGAGCCUUGUUGCAAGUGUGAAGGCCCUGAGCCUCCAAACCUCUUCUCUGUGAUUUGAAAGUGUCCGCAGCGUCAUCUUUAGCCCCGCAGCCGGACAGCCGCGCCCCCUGGGACUGUCGCUACCCCUGCUGCUCGCGGGCCUGCCCUUCCUCAUUUUUCAGGUCCCAGCUGACUCACUGCGUCCUGUUUGAUCACUGCCUCCUUUUUCCCCUUCCUUCACAUUUCUUGGGUACCCUCUUGAGUGACUGUCUUUCUCCCUUCAAUGUCAAUGGCAAAGCUGUUGUCAGUUUUAAUCACUAGGGAAUACCAGCAUCUAGCGUAGUGCCCCCAUUCACCACAUACUAGAUACUUGAAAUUUUUUUAUUGAAGGAAUGAUAGAGACCGAUUGUCUGCUGAGUGCGUCCUGUACCUGCAUCAGCUCGUUGACUCUUUCCAAGUCCAAGGGGCACAGAGGCACGCAGACGGGGUCCAUUCAUCUUCACUGCCAGACAGUACCUGCCAUGGUCUGAAUGCCUGUGUCCCCCAAAUGCAUGUGUUGAAAUCCUAACCCCACAGGUGGGGACACAGCGAGAAGUCUACGACCCCAGAGAGAGCCUUCACCCGACCACGCUGGCCCUCGGAUCUCAGACUUCCAGCCUCCAGAACUCAGCCUGCACAGACUAAGACGGUAGCCCAGCACCUGGACAUGCCAUACGUUAUCUAUGCUCAGUUGAUGGGCACUUUGUAGUUUGCUUUGGUCAGUCGUGAGUGUCUCCAGGUGGACACGGAGCUUGUCGAGGAGAAUCGUGCAGGCGCCCACAGCAGCUGAGGGGGCCCCCGCCCUGAGCCUCCGCGGACAGCUCCCCGCGCCAGCAGCACCGGUUUACACGCCCCCGGCGGCAGGAAGUCCUUUCUCCACAACCUCACUGGACUUUUAAUUGUUGCCCAUCUGAUGACGGUGAAGUGGCAUUUUUGUUGGGAUCCCCGUGCUGGUUGUCCAAGCUGACUCAAGGCAGUGUGGUGCUUGCGUGACACUGACGGAAAAGAACAGGGUAGCUUCCCGUCUCCCCUUAGCCAGGUCCCUUGUUUCAUCUGAGGCUGGAGACUGAGGCGGCCAGAGCCUCUCGGUCAACACUCACAGAUGCUUCAAGAAUACAGAGAGCAAUCACUGAACCAGCUGUUUGGAAACACUCUGAUUUUCUAAUUAGCAUUUCUUAUUAUAUCCUGUCCAGUGAUAGCCUACCACUGGUGUGGCUACCAAAGACCUUACUUGUGUCAAUUUUUUUUUCCAUUUAACUUGAUUUCCAGUCUUUGGUAUUAUUAAAAAACAAAUAUAUUUUGAAAAGGCUCUGGUAAAAGUCUGGAAGAAUAUGUUAACUCGGGGCAAUGGGAUUAUGGGACCUAAUUUCUUUUACUAAUUUCUGUAUUACUUUGAUUUUAUGCAGUGGGCAUAUUGCUUUGGGGAAAAAGGAGAGUUAAAAAAAAAACUUAAUGAAAAAGGAUAUCAAGGAAAUACUUGUACAGGAAUGUUCAUAGCAGCACUAUUCACAGUAGCCCAAAGGAGGAAACGACCCACAUGUCCAUCAGUGGAUGAACGGAUAAACCACCUGUGGGUCAUCCACACAAUGCAAUAUUAUUCAGCCAUAAAAGGAAUGAAAUUCUGACACCUCCUACCACAUGGACGAACCUUGAAAACAUGAUGCUGAGGAAGAGAAGUCAGACACAAAAAGUUGCAUAUUGUAUGAUUCCAUUUAUAUGAAAUGUCCAGAAUCAGUGAAUCCAUAGAGACAGAAAGCCGAUUGGUGGUUGACAGGAGCUAGAUGGAAGGGGGAGCAGGAAGGGACUGCUUAAUGGGGACCGGGUUUUUUGGGGGGUGAUGAAAUGUUUUGGAAGUAGACAGAGGUGUGGUCACACAACAGGGUGAAUGUUCUAAAUACCACUGUAUUAGUCACCUUAUGGUUAAUGUGAUGUUAUGUGAAUUUGACCUCAAUAAAAAUCAACAACUUGCAGCCUC